UACAAUUCCGUUCCCCUCUCACCCCGACCUGACCCACCCACCCCUCGCCGGCCCACCGCCACAGGUCGCCGCAAUGGCGUACAACCCUUCGCGCGCGCGCCUCUCGCCGCCAGCUCCCGCGGCCCCUCGCCCCAGGAAGCGCGGACGCUCUCCCUCUGCUCCCGGCGCGGCGGUGUGGCGCGCGUCCGCAUACGUCGCUCCUUUCGACCACCGCCGCCGCUGGCAGGACCCCGCAGGCGCGUCUGGCCGCGUCUGGCAGGGGUACCACGCGCCACAUGCUCCGGUGCCCUACCGGCGGUGGGUCUUCGCGGACGAGGCAUCGACCUCAGGCUCAGAUGCAUGCACAAUCAUGUCAUACAACAUCUUGGCGGAUAACAAUGCACGGAACCAUCCUGACCUUUACUUGGACGUCCCUUGGGAUGCUUUGAGGUGGGAUUCGAGGAGAAGGCUUAUUAUCCAUGAAAUUAGGCACUGGGACUCUGAUUUAGUGUGUCUUCAGGAGGUGGAUAGAUUCCGGGAAAUUGCUGCAGAAAUGAAGAACAGAGGCUAUGAAUGUAGCUUUAAGGGGCGUACUGGGGAUGCUAAAGAUGGAUGUGCUACCUUUUGGAAGUCAGAACGGUUACGUCUGCUUGAGGAAGAUAGUAUUGACUUUAGUGAAUUCAAUCUACGAAAUAAUGUUGCUCAAGUAUUAGUUUUUGAGCUUAACGGAACCCAAAAAUUUGUACUCGGGAAUAUUCAUGUUUUGUUUAAUCCAAAGCGUGGAGAUGUAAAAAUGGGACAGGUCCGCAUGCUACUGGAGAGGGCAAAUGCUCUUGCUGGAAAAUGGGAUGGAAUUCCUAUUGUACUUGCUGGUGAUUUUAACAGCACACCUGAAAGUGCCAUCUACAAGUUCUUGUCGACAAUGAAGCUGAACGUUUCUUUGCAUGAUAGAAGGCAGUUGUCUGGACUGGAUAGCUCUGAAUUUGGUUUGUAUUGUAGUUUACUGAACUAUGGAUGGAGUGACGAAGAAGUGAGAAAUGCGACAGGGUCCUCAAAUGUCAUGGUCGCUAGCCAUCCGUUGAAGCUCUCUAGCUCUUAUGCCAUGUUAAAGGGAAAUUCGAGCAAUAGGGGUUAUCAUGGUGAACCUCUAGCAACGUCAUAUCACAAGAAGUUUCUUGGGACUGUUGAUUAUUUGUGGUAUACUCCUGGGCUUGAAUGCUCCAGAGUUUUGGACACCCUACCUGUGGAUGCUUUGAGGAGAACGAGGGGUCUUCCAACCAGGGAGAUGGGCAGUGAUCAUCUGCCCAUUGUUGCUGAAUUCAUCUUCUCGGAACAGAUCAGAGAUGCAUCCGAGCAAGAAGAUGAAUCCGACCAAGACGAAUCUGCACGAGAAGCAAGCACAUCAAAACACAUAUAUUUCUCAGACAGUGACAGUUAGGCUGAUACAAGUUAGUUAUUCAAUUGGUAGGAAAGGUUUAGGAUAACUGACUCGGAGGGCACAGCGCACAGCACAUCAGAGUAUGUGCGGCGGUGACCAUGCCAGUCAGGAUUCAGAUGCAGAAAUUAUCUUAUCUAUCGUAAGGCUCAUGUCAUAUCCUUGCCAAACACGUUGUGAGUGAAUGUGCAAGGUGUUUUGCCAGAACCUGUAGUGGAUUCCAGUCAUGCUGCUUCAGGCUGCUGAUACGGAUCAGAAUCAGGUGUGUGGAGAUGAUGUCUCCAAUGCCAAGGUUAUGGCCAAACGCUCGAGUGUUCUCCGCAAGGCUGUACAUGACGACUGUAAUGUACUCGUUCUGUCUAUACCCUGUGUUUAGAAUGCUAUAUAGGAGGAGACUAACCAAACGUUGCAUAUAUCCUGUAAUAAAUUAUACUCCUUCUAAAGAAAUAUAAGAGCGUUUAGAUCAUUACUUUAGUUAUCUAAACGCUCUUACAUUUGUUUAUGGAGGGAGUGUCAUCGAUGAGGCCAGGUUGGCUUUAGUAGGGGAGUUGUGUCCGUCGGUGGUUCGCCUGGCGUGCUUUACAUGGUAUUGUCCCAGGGAUGUCGAUCUUGGCAAACAGACACAUCAAGGUACAGCCUCAAUGCCCAGUAUGCAAGCAAGGGGCAAGCAAGGGGCGGAAGAUAUGCGACAUCUGAUGUUUACAUGUGAAAGAGCAAAAGAAGUAUGGAAGAAACUGGGGUUACAUGAAAUAAUAGGUGAAGUCAUUCAAAUUGACAGGUCAGGUAGUGUGAUCCUUGAAGAAUUACUAACGCAACCGGCGAGACAUUCACCUGUUCUUGGUAGGUUGGGAUUCCGGGAGUCUUUGGUCGUUGGGGCUUGGUAUAUAUGGUGGCAACGACGAGAAUUUGUUAAGGGCAAAAAUGUCCAAAAUCCUUCGAGUACUGCUUUCGCUAUCCAAGCGAUCACAA